ACAGUGUGCAUCUUAGCAUCUUCAUUACAUCUUUGCUUGGUUCAUAUAUUAUCAGAUACUUUACCAAAAGCUCAAGGAAAGGUAGAAUUCCUGCCCCUGCCAUUAUUUAGAAAUAAGACAGAAGGCAUUCCGUCUUGAUUUGGCUUAUGUGUCAACCUGCCUGGUGUUGCUGAAGCUGGUAGUACCUUGGGGAACAUAGACCAACACCCUCAUUUUGCAGAUGAGGAAAUGACACAGGGAAGCAGCCAGGACUGGAUGUUAUAAGUUAAGACUUUCUCCGUAGGCUGUCUCGUAGGCCCUUGACUGUUCUUUACUCCUUUGAAUUUCCUUUCGACGUCCUGAUUCUUUAAGAACAGGUCACUGGAAGGCAGGUCAUUUUUACACAGGAGUUUUCAACCCAGCUGCACCAUGGUAUCACCUGGGAGCUUUAUAAAUUCUGAUGCUGGGGCUUCACACCUCCUGCCCCAAAGGAUUCUGAUGCAAUCCAGCUGGGGUGUGGCCCUAGCACCAGGAGUUUCAAGAGCUCCCUUGGGCAAUCCUGACGUGCAGCCACCUCUGAGAAGCUUUGCCGUGAAGCAAAGCAUACUGGGAAUGAAACUUGCUAAUAAUUAAGACGAUCUUUUGCAAUAGUUUUUCAUCCGCCAAUCUGAGCAGGUGUUUCUUGUUGAAAACUUCUACCUCUUAUUAGAGUGUACCCUGCUCCUCAGGUUCUAGCCAGCUCUGGGCCCUUCCUCACCACCGUUCUGGGGCCUUGCUCAGCCUCUAAAAGCGCACCGCUGCACGCAAAAUGACCACAAAAAUAGAGACCUGAAAACAAGUUUCAAAACGUUAAGUAAAAGCGAGGGAAGGAAAUCCCCCGAUUUGGACAAGUCUUCCAUAAGCAAAACAGAGGAAAGGGAGGCUAUCUGGCGAUAAUUCCGGCCAAGAGUAUUUGGGCAUUUUCCCAGAAUUACCCAAGUAAUCCCGUGAAAAGCGAGUCUAUGUAGGCUACAUUAUGCACAAACUGCCUAAACCGUGAGUUUUAAUCAAAAGUUACCUGACUCUGGAAAGCGUUAAAGGCAAAGACACCACAAGCAUCAUAGAUUCGACUAGCCCCUGGCCCCUUCCCUAAGCAUCUCCCUCCAGGGUCUUGCAGUAAGAAACCACAACCAAGCAGACAGUGAAUUCAACACUCCCCCAGGGCUCUUCUGCUCUGCCUCGGGACCUGAGACGCCCACUCAGGAGAACGCCCCAUUUCCUGCACCCUUCCAGCUCAAGAAAAAAAAAAAAACCCUAGGAGCGUUCUGAGGGGGCGUGGUGAGGACGAGUCCCAGUGCGCCGUCCAGAACCACCUUUUCUCCACCGCAGAGGUUCCGGGAACCCCCCGGUCCUGUAUCUGCACACCUUACAACGCCCCGCCCCCGACACUCGGACGCAGGUGGCCCCAGGACAAGGAUGUCAGAACUUCCCUAGGUCCCGGAAAGGACGGAAGUGAGGAGGAGUGUCCCAACCCGCGAGCCUUCCCCUCGCCGCCGCAGCCGCCGCCAGGAAGAAAGGUCUCCGCCGAGGACAGCCCGGAAGAGGGAGGGUCUCGCACUGCACACCUUGGACGCGUUUGGAAUUCGACCCUGCCUGCCCUGGGAGAAUUCGGGAUGAGAAGGAAAGGCUCUCCCUGGACGCUGUCGCUUUCCCCGGAACGAGUCGUCAGGGCCGUUCCCUGCGCUCUUUCCCUGGGACUUGGCGCGCCGCAGCCGCUCUGGGAACCUCGCAAGGCCCUCCAGGGACCAGGGAAGAGGGGCGGUGAUUAAGGAACUCUACCCCACACAGAGCGCAGAUCUGAACGUAACGGUUUGUUGUCCGCGGAGACCCAUCCUCUGGGUACGAAGAGAUUAUCCCAAGGAGUUACUGUUUUCCAACCUGAGACUGGGGAAAGAGGACUUUGCUCGAGAGCGGCGGGGAUCCACGACAGCUGGGUUGGGACGCAGUCUACCAAGAGCCAGCGUUACCCAUAAGGAGCCCAAGAAAAUGGGUUCCGUGAAUCUGACUUCACUUGUCUUCUUGUGUCAGUGGUUUUCUGAGGCAAGCCAGAGCUCUCCCUUGUCCAGUGUGGGCCGUGUUCUUAUGAAUUAGACUUGAGGCUGUCAGGCUUUCUCUGUAACAGAAAACAAACUUUGUGCCCCCCUUGGAGUUCUUUGCCAUUGGGACCCAGGUUCAUUUCUUCCUGAAAACCUGGCGCUCCAGAGCCAGUCUCCCAAAGCACAUUUAUGAGAAAGUAAAUCCCCCCACCCUUCUCCCAACCGUCUUGCAGGCCACUCCACCCCUCUAGAACCUUGGCAGUGAAGCUAACAGAGGCGGGGAGCUGGCCCCACUUCAGUAAACUCUAGGAUAAGAGGAUUCAGCGCAGCGCACGUGAAACAACUUUUGUGAAGUUCCCACGUGCGCGCUUUGGGAUGAACCCAGCCCAAAAUGAAGACGCCGCCAUACUCCCUAGCAACCAUUCAUUCAAUGCACAUAUUAAAGCCAAGCGCUGUGCUUAAGCGUUGUAGCCCAUCAGCGACCUACACAGAUUUGGAUCUUGCCCAUUUUAAUUGCAUAAACAGACAGGAUGCAAACUGCUGACCACGGGAGACAUAGGGCAGAAAUGCCUAUAGGAAGUGAAUGUUUAAAUGUGCCAGCAUGAGCAUUUGUGUCCACAAAUAGAGUGAUUUUGUUCUCUUAUAUAGUCAAGGAGCUGCUUCUCAGAAUCCAUCUAUUUACUCAAUAUGUGUGUAUUUGAGUUCUCAAGGUAUGAAAGAAAAUCAGAGUGGAAAAAGAGGGGGAAAAUCCCUCUUUGAACUUAGAAUCCCAGAAAGUCAAAGCUUGGAGUUCAAAACCUUGAAAUUUGUUUUAAGGGCUGUAGGCCAGGUUUUCAACUUCAAUUGGUAGAGAGGAAUGGAUAAGAUAUUGAAAAACAAAACACCAAACAUAAAAAGGAACAGGAACGUGUUCUGUGGAGGAUUGCAAAUGGCUUGUGGCUUGUCUUACCAGGGCCCUUGAGCCACAGGUUAGGCAGAAAAAGGCAAGGCUUUGCUUGGUGGGGUGGUAGUCCUAACAUGGUGGGCUGUGAGAAGGUAAAACGCCAGACUGGAAGGAAAAAGGGAACCCACAUUAGUGUGCCAGGCAACAUUAACUGAGUUAAAUCUUUUUUUUUUUAAGCCCUCAAGAUAGGUGCAUAUGAGAAUAUGCAUAUGGAAUAUGAGAAUCCAAAAACUCAAUGGCCAUAUAUAUUGGAGCCAGACCUGGAGAGGCAUACAGUAACAGAAUUUUCAACAUUGAAAGGGGAUUAUAGCCCAACUACAUACUCCAAAUACCAAAGAGGUUGGCCAUCCAGUUCAAUAGGCACGUUUUUAUUUUUAAAUAGGUGAAGAAAUUAAGGCCCAGGAAAAUGAAGGGAUUUGUCCAAUGUCUCACACUUAAGAGGUCUAUGAAUUUAUUCCCAGUUCAACGUGGUAAAAAAAAAGGGGGGGGGGGAGAGAGCCUUUAUUCCUUGAACAAUGAGGUAACAGAAGGAAA